rnacentral:rRNA from 1 species
UCACUUCUGGAUGGACCUGCGGUGCAUUAGCUUGUUGGUGGGGUAAUGGCCUACCAAGGCGAUGAUGCAUAGCCGAGUUGAGAGACUGAUCGGCCACAAUGGGACUGAGACACGGCCCAUACUCCUACGGGAGGCAGCAGUAGGGAAUCUUCCACAAUGGGCGCAAGCCUGAUGGAGCAACACCGCGUGAGUGAAGAAGGGUUUCGGCUCGUAAAGCUCUGUUGUUAAAGAAGAACACGUAUGAGAGUAACUGUUCAUACGUUGACGGUAUUUAACCAGAAAGUCCCGGCUAACUACGUGCCAGCAGCCGCGGUAAUACGUAGGUGGCAAGCGUUAUCCGGAUUUAUUGGGCGUAAAGAGAGUGCAGGCGGUUUUCUAAGUCUGAUGUGAAAGCCUUCGGCUUAACCGGAGAAGUGCAUCGGAAACUGAAUAACUUGAGUGCAGAAGAGGGUAGUGGAACUCCAUGUGUAGCGGUGGAAUGCGUAGAUAU